rnacentral:tRNA from 1 species
UGGGGAGUAGCACAGCGGCAACUGCACUCGGCUCUGACCCGAGCGUUCGAAGGUUCGAGUCCUUCCUCCCCAGCCA